rnacentral:rRNA from 1 species
UGGGGAAUUUUGGACAAUGGGCGCAAGCCUGAUCCAGCCAUUCCGCGUGCAGGAUGAAGGCCCUCGGGUUGUAAACUGCUUUUGUACGGAACGAAAAGGCUCUGGUUAAUACCUGGGGCUCAUGACGGUACCGUAAGAAUAAGCACCGGCUAACUACGUGCCAGCAGCCGCGGUAAUACGUAGGGUGCAAGCGUUAAUCGGAAUUACUGGGCGUAAAGCGUGCGCAGGCGGUGAUGUAAGACAGGUGUGAAAUCCCCGGGCUUAACCUGGGAACUGCAUUUGUGACUGCAUCGCUGGAGUGCGGCAGAGGGGGAUGGAAUUCCGCGUGUAGCAGUGAAAUGCGUAGAUAUGCGGAGGAACACCGAUGGCGAAGGCAAUCCCCUGGGCCUGCACUGACGCUCAUGCACGAAAGCGUGGGGAGCAAACAGGAUUAGAUACCCUGGUAGUCCACGCCCUAAACGAUGUCAACUGGUCGUUGGGUCUUCACUGACUCAGUAACGAAGCUAACGCGUGAAGUUGACCGCCUGGGGAGUACGGCCGCAAGGUUGA